AAUCUGUGCCCAACAAAUCGUACGUGUGCAUUUAUAAUCGUCAUUCAUUGCGAAUUUCAAUAGAUUUUUUUUUGUUUUUUUAUUUUAAUUUAGUGUUAAAAGUGAGUAGAAAGGUGUUUAAGUAGGUCAAUAAUUAUGGUGCAUUGCUGUGUGGUUGGCUGUAAGAGUCGCAGUGAGCGUAAAUUAGAAAACAUAACCUUUCAUUCAUUCCCAAAAGACACUUUACUGCGUGAUUCAUGGAUUAAAUCUACAGGUCGAAGAAAUUGGACUCCAGGAAAAAACACACGCAUUUGUUCUAAACAUUUUGAUACAAAUAGCCUACGAAGAACUCAGCAUAUGACAUUCUUAAAUGCAUCUUCAGUUCCAACACUAUUUAUACACGUAAAUAAAUAAAUCAAUUAUUUAUACUUUAAGGAA